CAUAAGUUGCCUGGCUGUGUGUGACUGUCACUGCGCGACCGGGGAUGAAUGGGGGACGUCACUGGCAGCGUCUGUAUGAUAUCAAGAAGAGUUAUGUGGAUUGUAGGCGUCACAAUUUGCUGGGACAGAAUAGAUGGAUGUGAUAUAGAUAUAAAACAUGAUCCAAAUUUUCUUGUUGCAAAACGUGUGUUACUGAGCCGGUCUCACGGAGUAUAUGCGCGUGCGUUCCCAGCUGAUGACAUGAAAGCAAAUCCAUACUUGGUCCGAAACCAAAUCCAAAACCCGCAAGGAUGGUUUUGGCAAAACCAGUCCAGAUCCAAAACACGAAGUAGAUCCGGAUCCAAAACCACAACACAAAACCCAAAAAAUGGCCCGGUGCACACCCUAAUUUAAAGCCCUGACCUGGGAGAUGGCUGAGUGGAAGAACCAAUCAAAAUCUCCAAUUAAGAAAGCUUGCAGCCACCACUUUAAAGUGGCA